AACGCGAAGAACCUUACCAGGUCUUGACAUCCCACUGAUCGGUUUAGAGAUAAGCCUUUCCCUUCGGGGACAGUGGUGACAGGUGGUGCAUGGUUGUCGUCAGCUCGUGUCGUGAGAUGUUGGGUUAAGUCCCGCAACGAGCGCAACCCUUGAUCUUAGUUGCCAGCAUUCAGUUGGGCACUCUAAGGUGACUGCCGGUGAUAAACCGGAGGAAGGUGGGGAUGACGUCAAAUCAUCAUGCCCCUUAUGACCUGGGCUACACACGUGCUACAAUGGACGAUACAAAGGGCUGCAAACCCGCGAGGGGGAGCCAAUCCCAUAAAAUCGUUCUCAGUUCGGAUUGUAGGCUGCAACUCGCCUACAUGAAGCCGGAAUCGCUAGUAAUCGCGGAUCAGCAUGCCGCGGUGAAUACGUUCCCGGGCCUUGUACACACCG
rnacentral:rRNA from 1 species